rnacentral:rRNA from 1 species
UACGAAGGGGGGCUAGCGUUGUUCGGAAUCACUGGGCGUAAAGCGCACGUAGGCGGACUUUCAAGUCAGGGGUGAAAUCCCGGGGCUCAACCUCGGAAUUGCCUUUGAUACUGUAAGUCUCGAGUCCGGAAGAGGUGGGUGGAAUUCCUAGUGUAGAGGUGAAAUUCGUAGAUAUUAGGAAGAACACCGGUGGCGAAGGCGGCUCACUGGUCCAUUACUGACGCUGAGGUGCGAAAGCGUGGGGAGCAAACAGG